rnacentral:rRNA from 1 species
UACGUAGGUGGCAAGCGUUAUCCGGAAUUAUUGGGCGUAAAGGGUGAGUAGGCGGCAGAUAAAGUUUGAAGUGAAAGGCAGUUGCUUAACGACUGUAGGCUUUGAAAACUAAUUAGCUAGAGUAUAGGAGAGGUUAAUGGAAUUCCACGUGUAGCGGUGAAAUGCGUAGAUAUGUGGAGGAACACCAGUGGCGAAGGCGAUUAACUGGCCUAAUACUGACGCUUAUACACGAAAGCGUGGGGAGCAAAUAGGAUUAGAUACCCUAGUAGUCCACGCCGUAAACUAUGAGAACUAAGUGUUGGGGGAACCCAGUGCUGAAGCAAACGCAUUAAGUUCUCCGCCUGAGAAGUACGUUCGCAAGAAUGAA